rnacentral:rRNA from 1 species
AUGAAGCAAUCAAACUUUAUCCUCUCUGUCAUCAUUCCUGGUAAAAAAUCUCCAGGGAAAGACAUGGAUGUUUACAUGCAGCUGACCAUAGAUGAUCUUCUAGAGCUUUGGAAUGAUGGAGUCUGGACUUAUGAUGCCUCUCGAUCUAAGAAGUUUCUCUUACACGCUGCACUACUAUGGACAAUAAGUGAUUGGCCUGGGCGUGGAUCUUUGUCUCGAGAAAAUAUAGCAGUUUGCUCCCAUUGUCUAUCAGAGACAUGCUCUCUUUGGUUAAAGAAUGGACACAAGAAAUGCUAUAUGGGAAUCAUAGAUUCUUGGAACCUAAUCACGAGUUUUGAUUUGAUGCUGAGUCAUUUGAUGGUUUUGAGGAACAUCGAGAGCCCCCCGUUCCCCUUUCAUCACAUGACAUUUCAAUAUUGA